GAAUGAAGCAACAACUAGGAUUUUCCUGUGUUAAAAGAAGAAGGACUACAGAAUCGUUCAAGCCUAGAAGGCAAAGAAACAAACCAAAGAAGGAAACAACUCCCUUUUCAGUCAAAGGCUUCUAAGACCAACUUUAGAAGACAUGUAAUUCUAAUAGCAUGAGUGAGUGGGUUAGAGUCAUGGUUCCAUCAACAGCAAAACUGUGCUGUGAGUCUGGGUCACAGGUGACCAGAGCCCUCAAAUAGUUAGACCUCACACCUGGGACAAACAGCUGAGAUGCCUCUUAACAUAUCAGAGCUGAUGCUGGCCACGUGGUUCUUCUGGUUACCCUCAGUCUCUACCAGUUACAGGAUCCUCCUUGCUUGCAUACCCUGCCCUCUACCCUGAAGUCUCUGGCCACAGGAUGGGUUGCCCUUCCUCCUGCUGCUCAUCCCCUAUAUAAUCCAAUCAUUUUGGCUUUACUGGACUACUAUGCUGUGAGGGUGAGAAGCAUCAAAGCUAACCCAAUCCCAGCAACCAGAAAGCAGAGAGCAGUGCGCC